rnacentral:rRNA from 1 species
UACGUAGGGGGGCAAGCGUUGUCCGGAUUUAUUGGGCGUAAAGCGCUCGCAGGUGGUUCGUCGCGUCGUGCGUGAAAGACCCCGGCUCAACUGGGGAGGGUCGUGCGAUACGGGCGAACUGGAGGCCAGUAGGGGGAUGCGGAAUUCCGGGUGUAGUGGUGGAAUGCGUAGAGAUCCGGAGGAACACCAGCGGCGAAGGCGGCAUCCUGGACUGGUCCUGACACUCAGGAGCGAAAGCGUGGGGAGCGAUCCGG